UUUGCGAAUUAUUUUACCACAUAUCCAAGUAGAGCAAAUGCUUUAUAAAGUUAUUUUGCUUUACAAGGAUAAUCAACUUCAAGAACGCUGGAUUUCUGAAAUAGUUAAAAAUUCCAAUUUUUCCAAAGAAACUAUUGAAAAAUAUGUUUCUUUAAAGAAAAAUAAAUGGAAAACUUUUUAGAAAAUGAUAUAGUCCAACCUUUAUAGUGAUAUAAAGAAAAUUUUGACCCCAGUAGUCCACGCCGUAAACGAUGCAUACUUGGUAUUAGGAGAAUCGACCCUCCUAGUGUCGUAGCUAACGCGUUAAGUAUGCCGCCUGGGAAGUACGAGCGCAAGCUUAAAACUCAAAGGAAUAGACGGGGAUCCGCACAAGUGGUGGAGCAUGUGGUUUAAUUCGACGACAAGCGAGGAACCUCACCAGGGCUUGAAACCUAGCUGCAUUGUAUAGAAAUAUACAAGCCUUCGAGGGUGCUAGGCAGGCGUUGCACGGUCGUCGUCAGCUCGUGUCGUAAGAUGUUCUGUUAAGUCAGGAAACGAGCGCAACCCCUAUCGUGUGUUAUUAUGUCACACGAGACUGCCCAGAACUUUGCGCGAUAGCGCAAAGUAAUGACCAAUAAUCAAGGCACAAUAACCAAAAUUUGGGAUUUGUAUCUUGGAAUUUGGAAUUUACUUUGUUCGCUAGCGAACAAAGUUCUGGGAGGAAGGCGGGGAUGACGUCAGAUCAGCGUGGCCCUUUGACGCCCUGGGCUACACACGUGCUACAAUGGCCAUUACAAAGGGUUGCUAAGCCGUAAGGCGGAGCUAAUCCCAUAAAGAUGGUCUCAGUUCGGAUUGAGGUCUGCAACUCGACCUCAUGAAGCCGGAAUCACUAGUAAUCGUGAAUCAGCCAUAUCACGGUGAAUACGUUCUCGGAUCUUGUACUCACAAUAAAAGCGCUAGGCAGUUUAAUAAUCUAGAGAGUUUAAAUCUCUCCCUCCGAAACCCAAUCGGAGCGUAGCUAACAGGUAGUCGUCAUUCGCGAGAAUGACGGUGAAGGAUCUGAAGGCAAAU
rnacentral:rRNA from 1 species